rnacentral:rRNA from 1 species
UACGUAGGGGGCUAGCGUUGUCCGGAAUCAUUGGGCGUAAAGAGCGUGUAGGCGGCCCGGUAAGUCCGCUGUAAAAGUCAAAGGCUCAACCUUUGAAUGUCAGUGGAUACUGCCGGGCUAGAGUCCGGAAGAGGCGAGUGGAACUCCUGGUGUAGCGGUGGAAUGCGCAGAUAUCAGGAGGAACACCGGUGGCGAAGGCGGGUCUCUGGGCCGAUACUGACGCUGAGGCACGAAAGCGUGGGGAGCAAACAGG